CGUAGGGUGCGAGCGUUGUCCGGAAUUACUGGGCGUAAAGAGCUUGUAGGCGGUUCGUCGCGUCGUUCGUGAAAACUUGGGGCUCAACCCCAAGCUUGCGGGCGAUACGGGCGGACUAGAGUACUUCAGGGGAGACUGGAAUUCCUGGUGUAGCGGUGAAAUGCGCAGAUAUCAGGAGGAACACCGGUGGCGAAGGCGGGUCUCUGGGAAGUAACUGACGCUGAGAAGCGAAAGCGUGGGUAGCGAACAGGAUUAGAUACCCUGGUAGUCCACGCCGUAAACGGUGGGUACUAGGUGUGGGUUUCCUUCCACGGGAUCCGUGCCGUAGCUAACGCAUUAAGUACCCCGCCUGGGGAGUACGGCCGCAAGGCUA
rnacentral:rRNA from 1 species